rnacentral:lncRNA from 1 species
AUAAUUCUUGGGAAGCUUCUUGAUGCGCUUCCUUAGAAUCAUAGGCCAAUAGUAUAUAUAGGAGUCGAGGCUGAAGAGUUCUUCAGUCUCGACAACACAUCUCUUGAAGCUCUAGCUCAAUUGUCUUGGCGUUGCUCUUGUACUCAUCUGAUAAUCUAGUUCUUCUCAUUUCUUCUUGAACUUCUUGUUUAGAUUUCUUGUUUGUAUUUUUGGUCCGUGACAGUUUGUCGAGACUA